AGGUGUGGAGCCGUAGCGAAAGCGAGUCUUAAAUGGGCGAUUAAGUUACUUGGCGUAGACCCGAAACCGGGCGACCUAUCCAUGAGCAGGUUGAAGCGAAAGUAAAAUUUCGUGGAGGACCGAACCCACGAGCGUUGAAAAGCUCGGGGAUGACUUGUGGAUAGCGGUGAAAUUCCAAUCGAGCCCGGAGAUAGCUGGUUCUCCUCGAAAUAGCUUUAGGGCUAGCCUCAAGCGUAGAGAAACGGAGGUAGAGCACUGAAUGUCCUAGGGGGUAUUGCACUUACCGAAGACUAUCAAACUCCGAAUGCCGUUUUCUUUUACUUGGGAGUCAGACUGUGGGUGAUAAGAUUCAUAGUCAAAAGGGCAACAGCCCAGAUCGUCAGCUAAGGUCCCUAAAUGUACGUUAAGUGGUAAAGGAUGUGGGAUUGCACAGACAACCAGGAUGUUGGCUUAGAAGCAGCCACUCAUUUAAAGAGUGCGUAAUAGCUCACUGGUCGAGUGAUCCUGCGCCGAAAAUUUCCGGGGCUAAAACGUACUACCGAAGCUACGGCAUCAUUUAUGAUGGGUAGGGGAGCUUCGUAUGCAGGCUGAAGCAUGACCGUAAGGACAUGUGGACAGUAUACGAGUGAGAAUGUUGGCAUGAGUAGCGAGACGUGGGUGAGAAUCCCACGGGCCGUAAACCCAAGGUUUCCAGGGGAAGGUUCGUCCGCCCUGGGUUAGUCGGGACCUAAGCCGAGGCCGAAAGGCGUAGGUGAUGGACAACAGGUUGAUAUUCCUGUACCGCCAAUAAGCGUUUGAGAGAUGGAGUGACACAGUAGGAUAAGCUAACCGUACUGUUGGUUAUGUACGGCUAAGCAUUGAGGCAGUCUAAAUAGGCAAAUCCGUUUAGACAAUGCUAGGAUGUGAUGGGGAAGCCCUUCGGGGCGAAGUAGCUGAUUUCACACUGUCAAGAAAAGCUUCUAUCGAGUUUAAAGGCGCCCGUACCGUAAACCGACACAGGUGGGUGAGGAGAGUAUCCUAAGGCCAGCGAGAGAACUAUUGUUAAGGAACUCGGCAAAAUGACCCCGUAACUUAGGGAGAAGGGGUGCCUGUCUAUGACAGGCCGCAGAGAAUAGGCCCAAGCGACUGUUUACCAAAAACACAGGUUUCUGCUAAGUCGCAAGACGAUGUAUAGGAGCUGACGCCUGCCCGGUGCUGGAAGGUUAAGGGGAUCUGUUAGAGCAAUCGAAGCAGUGAACUUAAGCCCCAGUAAACGGCGGCCGUAACUAUAACGGUCCUAAGGUAGCGAAAUUCCUUGUCGGGUAAGUUCC
rnacentral:rRNA from 1 species